GCAGCAGUAGGGAAUAUUGGGCAAUGGGCGCAAGCCUGACCCAGCCAUGCCGCGUGAAGGAAGACAGCCUUAUGGGUUGUAAACUUCUUUACUAUGCGAAUAGAGAUUAGUACGAGCUACUAAUAGGAAGGUAGCAUAGCAAAAAGCACCGGCUAACUCCGUGCCAGCAGCCGCGGUAAUACGGAGGGUGCAAGCGUUAUUCGGAAUUACUGGGUUUAAAGGGUGCGUAGGCGGUUAAAUAAGUUGUCAGUGAAAGGCUACGGCUCAACUGUAAUAGUGCUGGCGAUACUGUAUAACUAAGAACAUGGGAGAGGUACCUGGAAUGUGUGGUGUAGCGGUGAAAUGCGUAGAUAUCACACAGAACACCGGAGGCGAAGGCGGGGUACUAGACCAUAGUUGACGCUGAGGCACGAAAGCGUGGGGAUCAAACAGGAUUAGAUACCCUGGUAGUCCACGCCCUAAACGAUGAUCACUAGAUAUUGGCGACAGACAGUCAGUGUCCAAGCGAAAGUGAUAAGUGAUCCACCUGGGGAAUACGGCCGCAAGGUUAAAACUCAAAGGAAUUGACGG
rnacentral:rRNA from 1 species